rnacentral:rRNA from 1 species
CAUAGCCACGGUAAUACGAAGGGUGCAAGCGUUAAUCGGAAUUACUGGGCGUAAAGCGUGCGUAGGCGGUGAGUUAAGUCUGCUGUGAAAUCCCCGGGCUCAACCUGGGAAUGGCAGUGGAUACUGGCUCGCUAGAGUGUGUCAGAGGAUGGUGGAAUUCCCGGUGUAGCGGUGAAAUGCGUAGAGAUCGGGAGGAACGCCGAUGGCGAAGGCAGCCACCUGGUCCACUUCUGACGCUGAGGCGCGAAAGCGUGGGGAGCAAACCGGAUUAGAUACCCCCGUAGUCCCUGUCUCUUAUACA